rnacentral:lncRNA from 13 species
CUCUUACCACAAUAUCCUUUGGACAAGGCAGUGUUCAUCUCACAGGGCACCUCUCCACUGGUGAGAAAUGGAUGGUCUCCCAAAGCAGGCAGUUGUGUGUUCCAGUGGCCUGGCUACAUGGGAGAAAAGAGUGCAGGCUUUAGAGGUGAAAGGCCAGAAUUUGCAAGUUGGCUGUACCACCAUUUGCCCGCAUAUUUUGAGGCAAGUUUCUUAGUAUGCCUGAAAUGUGUUAGAGAAAUUUUUUCUUUGAUGCUCAGCUGUAACUAAAAGAAGAUUGUCUUUGAAAUAGAAAUGAUGCCAAGCACUUCCACAGUUUUGGGGAGGAUUGAAUGGUAUACACAGACAACAACUCUUAACAAAUCUAUAAGGAAUGUUGUGGAGAAGAAACCAAGGUGCCUUUCAUUAAUUCUUCCCACUAAAUUAAUGGAGCCACUGCAUCUUGCAGACCAUCAGGAGAGCAGAAGCAAAAGUAUUGGCUGGAAAACUUGUCAGCCAUUGUACUACUAUGCUUCUGAGAUCAACUUUUGUAUUCCACAUACUUCAUCACUGCUAUCCCUCUCAGGAGAGAGCUUCUUUGUACAGAUGAGAACCAAAUCCUCAGCUCAGCGUUAUCCACUUGAUGGUUGGAAGACUCCUUCAGACAAGCGUCCGGCUCUGGAUACUUCAGACACUGUUUUAUUUAUACCGCUCACCUGCUUGCAAGUGCUGACUGCUGAAGGGUUAGAGUUAAAUUGUGAUAGAAAUGUUGUACUGUAUCUUUGCAUAACAAUACUAGGUGAGUUGGUACUUUGGAGGAAGAAGUAUGUCUGGAAGCUAUUCCACACUAGGUCACCCUGCAGUAACUUAGUUAUACGUAUGACAGCGCCUAUGAGCCAUAUAACUAACUAUAUCUUACUACACCUAAACUAAAAAUGAUUCAACUUCCCAUUAACCAGAUUCCAAAAAUGCCUGUAAACUACUCCCAUGCCAUCCUACACAAGGGCAAGCAUGAAACCUUAACCAGUUGUCAGCAAAUAACUUACUUUUACAAAUUGACAAGGCAUACUGCCAAGGCCUUGGAAGAGGUUCAUACAAGUGCAAGGACCUGAAGCUUCAGCUUCAUACUUUCCCCAGAAAUCCACCUCUGGGGGAUAACUCUAAAACACUAAAUUCAGAUAUUUGAGAACAUAAUUUACUGUUAAUAUGUUAACAUUGAAAUUCAACAUAUGACUUUAAAUUGGGCUACUUUUGAUGGAAAAGGAGAAAAAAAUAGACACCUCCUGAAACAGCAACAGUUCAUAGUCUGGAAUGAAGGGAUCUCCUGCCAAGAAGAAAAUUCCAGUUUUUCAGAGGCAAUAACAACCAGAUCUGAUCCCUUAGAAUGAAGACAGAUUUGUGGUUCUUGGAAUGUCAUGGGAAGGGUGAUAUAACCUUGAUGGAUGAGCUUCGGGCUUGGGUCAUAUAGUUUGUAUAUUAAACAGCAAGUGCUUUGUUUGGUAUCCCAGUAUGUGAGGUGAAAUUGUUACUUUCUGUAAUUUAAACAUGUGGCAUUGUUUGUGAAAGAUGAUGAGUAAUAAUGGGUUGAGGCAACAACAGCCAACAAUUAGCAAGAGCCUAAUUGCAGGACUUUGAUGUAAUUAUUUAACCCUCAGAACAAUCCUAUGAAGUGAGAAUCAUCUCUAUUUUAUCAAUUACAAAAAUGGAACUAGAGAAAUAGAUUCCUCAU